rnacentral:rRNA from 1 species
GACGAACGCUGGCGGCGUGCUUAACACAUGCCAGUCGAACGGAAAGGCCCUGCUUGCAGGGUACUCGAGUGGCGAACGGGUGAGUAACACGUGGGUGAUCUGCCCUGCACUUCGGGAUAAGCCUGGGAAACUGGGUCUAAUACCGGAUAGGAGCCAUUCUUAGUGUGAUGGUUGGAAAGUUUUUUCGGUGUAGGGUGAGCUCGCGGCCUAUCAGCUUGUUGGUGGGGUAAUGGCCUACCAAGGCGGCGACGGGUAGCCGGCCUGAGAGGGUGGACGGCCACAUUGGGACUGGGAUACGGCCCAGACUCCUACGGGGGGCAGGAGUGGGGAAUAUUGCACAAUGGGCGCAAGCCUGAUGCAGCGACGCCGGGUGGGGGAUGACGGCCUUCGGGUUGUAAACUCCUUUCGCUAGGGACGAAGCUUUUUGUGACGGUACCUAGAUAAGAAGCACCGGCUAACUACGUG